rnacentral:misc_RNA from 1 species
UUUCUUCUAAAAUAUGGAAAAAUAUAAGUGUGGAGUUUAAUAUUUGCAAGUUUUAUAAAAAUUGCUUUUUUUAUGCUCUCAAUUAUUGUAAAGCUAUAUAAAUUAAUAAUUCUUAAGUUAAUAGUAUUACUAUUAGUAUACUGAGGAUCGAGAAACGUGGUUGUAAUUGUACUAUUAGUUAUUUGCAGAUGACGAAUCUAGAAAUGUAAGGAAAUUUGAGAAGGUUUAAAAAGUCGGGAGUUAACGAAAAAAAAUUGAACUUGAAACCUUGAAAUGUCAAGAAAAUUGUGACCCCUUUUUUAUCUUGAAUUUUCACUUUUAGGGUUAAUCAUGUCAAUUAUUAUGAGGGCUUUCCAGUUUGGAAUUUGGUUAUCAACUGUACAUCUAUUUGGGAAUGUCUUUAGUCAACCAGCUACAAGAUACUAAUUGGUAUCUCCAUUGAUGACUUGAGUUGCUAUGAAGUAAUGAUACAGAGGUUUGAAAACUGUUUUGAAGACUAUGCUGCCUUAUAAAAACUCGUGACCAAUAAUUCUCUAAAUGAAGAAAAUAGGCAUUUGUAACUGGCGGAUAUUGCAUUUCAUGAUUCCAUUCCGUGUGUGGAAUCUGAUUGAUGCUUUAAUAUGAGGAGAUCCAAUGUUAGUCAAGAAAUAGCAGCUUUGAAAUCUGAUUUGGCUUUUGAUCUUGAGAAGGCAAGUGCAUUUCAUGAUUCCAUUCCGUGUGUGGAAUCUGAUUGAUGCUUUAAUAUGAGGAGGUCCAAUGUUAGUCAAGAAAUAGCAGCUUUGAAAUCUGACUUGGCUUUUGAUCUUGAGAAGGCAAGUGCAAAUGAUGAACUUAGAACUGUAGAAUCAAACUUAUGUUUUAAUAUGCUUAGAACUAAUGCUAACCAAGAACAACAGGCUGCAGAUUUAGAUUCAUCCCUCAAUAUCAACAGACCUAAUGCAAAUCAAGAACUAUUGGCUGUGGAUUCAAAUUCACUUCUUAGCAUCAGCAGAUCUAAUGCUAAUCAAGUAAGGGAAUGUUUAAUGGAAAAUACGUCUGUAACCCCAGAGAAACCUCAUGAACAAGAGAAGAAAUCGUCUUUCCAAAUAACAAGUGUCACAGCUCAAAGAGCCAUAUUAAAUCUGCAUAGUGAUUUUUGUGAGUUAAAUUUGGAAAUCCUAAAUGGAAGAAAAAGAAUGGAUGUGGAUAAUGGUCAGUCUUCUGAGGACACAAAUGGCUGUAGUGGUAGCAGUAGCAGCAAUAGUUAUAGUACUAGUACCAUUAACAGCAAUAUGGUACAAUCCCCUAUUUCCUCUAGUCCAUCUGUACCUGUAGGUUCUGAACCCCCGGAGUUCGUCCCUUCUGGGAAUAUUAUUGAUUCCAAAAUACCUUUCUCCUUUUCUUCAGAUACUACAGCUUUUUCAGAAAAUGUAAUGAAACUACAAAUGGAUCAACAAGUAUUAUCAUUGGUAACAACUUGUGUCACAUCUAGCAACACCAAUAAGUUAUCUAUGGCUCCCAUAUCUCAUGAAAAACAAGAUCGAUUUAAGAUUGUGAAACUUGUGAGUAAUGAUCCUGUUAAACGAGGCCGAUGGGCUUGCACUGACUUUACUGAUAAAAAUGUAGCUCAUCAAGGUAUUGCCAAGUGUGAGAUGUCUCCUGAAGACAACUUUGCUAUAGGAUCCAGUAAUACUGGAUUACCAAAUGCACUUUAUAACGAACGUGUUGUUAACAAUUCAGGUAGUGCUUCACAUUAUUUAAUAAACCAAACAUAUCCAGUAAUUCCUGCUGAAGAGUUGACACUAAGCACUCACCAACACUCUCUUCCUUUAUACAAAAUUAUUUUUCCCGUAAGUGAAGCAUCACAAAGCAAUCCAGUCAAUCCAAACCAGAAUGUAGAAGAUGUUUAUUCUCAGGCUAUUACUUUUUCAAACCAGGUCCAUUCAGUUCGUAUUCCACAAUUAUCACAUUAUGUUUCCCAAGAGCCUAUUCUUACUCAAACUCAUCCCAAGAAUAUUUCAGAGAUUAUAUGUGAAACACUUACAGAAGAAAAAUCUAUAAGUCAUCAAGCCAUUUCUGAAGUUACUGAUCUGACAUCAACACCUCAAUUAUGUGUUCCAAGUACUUCAGACUUUCAGAAUUGUAACUCGCAAGUCCUACAUUCAGGAUUUACAUCUUUAAGUCAUACUGAAGUACAACAGUCUCUUCUUGAAGGUCCACCAUUAAUCCAUGUUUCCAAAGAUGAAAAUGCAGAGAGCGUGGUUAUGUUUCCAGUAUUACAGUGCUCAACAACCACACAAAAAGUGGUAAAAUUAUGAAGAUGUGAAGAAACAACUAAUCACCAGGACAAGUAGUGCUUCAGACCUCAGUUCUUUAGCUAUAGACAACAAAAUUGAACAAGCUAUGGACUUGGUUAAGAGUCACCUUAUGCUUGCUGUCCGAGAAGAGGUGGAAGUAUUGAAAGAAAAAAUCAUAGAACUGACGGAA